GUUCCAAACUCGAAAGAGAGUGGCAAUCCCUAAACGCUACCACAGUUAUGACUGAGGGCUGUAACUCGCCCUCACGAAUAUGGAAUCCCUAGUAACCGCGUGUCAUUACCGCGCGGUGAAUACGUCCCUGCUCCUUGCACACACCGCCCGUCGUUUCAUCGAAGUUUGCUUUUAGCGAGGUGAUGUUUAAUUGGCAUUAUCGAACUUGAGGUAAGUGACGAGGGAAAAGUCGUAACAAGGUGACCGUAGGGGAACCUGCGGUCGGAUCACCUCCU
rnacentral:rRNA from 1 species